UAUAUAUAAGUGUAAUAAAAGCACAAAAAUUUUUGAAAUUUUUAGAAAUGAUAAAAAUCAUUAUAUAUAA
rnacentral:tRNA from 1 species